rnacentral:lncRNA from 1 species
AACAAUCGCUCUUGGGUUUCUUCUUUUCCGCCCCUCCUCCAAAUCUUCCGACUACCCCCGACUACCCCCGACGACCCCUACCUCUCCCUCUCCCUCAAGUCCGGCCUCGUUGCCCUCUUACAAGACAAGCCCCCCUCGCUGGAACCUCCUCCCGGCCUAUGCUAAAAAUAUUUCUGGAGGAGGGACAUACCUUAGGAGAAGGGACAAACCAUGUCGAAGUCGUGGUUUAAAUUUGGAACCCUAGAAAGAAAAUCCUAACCUUAUGUCAAACGGCUUAAGUGUCAGUUUGUAAGACUCAAUAAAAUAGAAAAUUAACUGAAAAUAAAAUCCAAAAAAUAUAAGAUAGCUAAAUCUAAACUUGACUUAAACCUAUAUAAAUCAGGUUACUUGAGCACUUAGGUGACCGCUAGGGGUGCAAAUGGGUAGGAUCGGGAGACCCGACCCAGUUGAAAAUCGGGUCGGGUCGGGUUGGGUCGAUGUAUAACCCAGACCUGACCCAAAAAAUUUGGAUCUGGUCGGGUCUAGUCCGGGUCGGGUCCAGGUUCAGUCCCUAAAUACCCUGACAAGAAACUAAAUUAACCUGUAAAGAUCACAUUUUUCACAACCUUUCUUGAAUUUAAGAAAUUAAUCUGGUGAAAGUUCAUCUCACAGAAGAGGCAAAACGGAACAGUUUCUUCUAUUUAACUAGCAAAUUCCAGUUGCAAGGAUUAAUUCCAAAAGAAAUAUGCAGUAACCAGAAAGCUUGGGAUAAAUUUUGAAAGGCAUAAAAAAAAACUUCUAAAUCAAAGACCUAGAACAUAAAAAAAGACUUAUAGUCAUAAGAAAAUAAAUAGAUGGCUGCAAUCCAAGUAUGAAAACAAGAUCAAUAAUGUAAACUACCAACCAGAAAUUAUACAAAUAAAACAAAAGCAUUGUCCUUGCUAUUCAUAAAGAAUCAAACCUAAGAUUCAUCACCUUUGCUGUCACUCUCUAACUUCCGAGGCCAACCAAGGUUCCCCUCCAUUCCACCCUCUCUAUUUCUUGUAUCCACCUUCCGGCUCAAACCUCACCUCCUCGUCCUCUCCUCCGCCACAACCGCCUCUUAAUCCCCACCAAAACCCUCCCCUCCUCUCCUCUCUCUCGCUCGCCCCUUUUCCUCCUCCUACAGCCUCCAACCCCAUCGCCGUCGUCUUCCUCCCGUCCCUUCCCCCCCUCUUUGCCCUCCGCGGUGGCUGCGGCAUCUACAUGCAGGACUCCGAUCGCUCUUGGGUUUCUUCUUUCCCGCCCCUCCUCAAAUCUUUCGACUACCCCCGACGACCCCUACCUCUCCCUCUCCCUCUCCCUCAAGUCUGGCCUCGUUGCCCUCUUACAAGACAAGCCCCCCUCGCUGGAACCUCCUCCCGGCCUAUGCUAAAAAUAUUUCUGGAGGAGGGACGUACCUUAGGAGAAGGGACAAACCACGCCGAAGUUGCCGGACCCCGAAGAGACUCGCAGGUGCACAGAAAGGGGAGAUCGAUUCGGGAAGAAGGGAAAGCCAGAUAGGGUCUUCUCCAGAUCUAGGGUUCCUCCGCCGCAACCAGAUAGGGUCUUCCUCUUUUCUAGAUCUAGGGGACUCGGAAGCGAAGAAGGGACUUAUAUCUUAUGGGCUAUGACUAGCGGGCUGCGAGCCUGUGGGCUUGAGGAGUCACAGACUUACGGGACUUGGAGCGCUUUUCCCUUGCGGGCUGCGGGCCUGCGGCUGCGGCUUGUAGGCCUGCGGGUCUAAAGGGGUAAUCCGGCUUCGGGUCGAGUCGGAUAAGGUCUUUUGGUAAACGAUCCAAAAUUGACCCAAAAAAAAAGGGUUGGGUCGGGUCGGGUUGGGUUUACGCGGGUUGGGCCGGGUCACGGGUCAACCUGACCCAUUUGCAGCCUUAGUGACCGCCUAAGGCAAUAAGAAGGUUCUAACACUCAGACGACCUUGACUUGGACCAUCAUAAAUAAUGUCGAUGCAUUCUAUACUACCUAUAUACUUUUGUAAGUAUGCACAUAUAGCAUAUAUAUACAUAUAAAUAUAUGUUUUUUUGCAUGUAUAUGUAUGUAUGUAUACAUGCAUACAUACGUACAUGCAUACACAUAUACACACAAACAAAUUCAUAACGAUAUAUACAUGCAUAUGAGAUAUAUCGUAUGUAUAUAUACACACAUAUAAUUACACACAUAUAUCAUAUGUAUAUCAUAUGCAUAUGACAUAUAAUUACGCAUGUGUUUAUAUAUAUGUAUAUACAACUACAUAAACAUAUAGGUAUGUCCAUCCAUGCAUCCAUGCAUGCAUGUGUGCAUACAUAUAUAUAAACACAUAUAUAUAUAUCCAUGUAUAUAUAUUAUAUAUUAUAUAUAUGUAUAUACAUAUAUAAAUAUUAUAUAUUAUAUAUAUGUAUAUACAUAUAUAAAUAUUUAUGCAUAUACAUCUAUACAUAUAUAGUUAUACAUAUAUAUGUAUAUAUAUAAUAUACACAUAUAGGUAUAUGUAUAUAUCUAUACACACACACAUAUACAUGUGUGUGUGUGUAUGUAUAUAUGUGUGUGGGUGUGUGUAUAUAUGUAUAGAUAUGUAUGUAUGUAUGUAUGCACACCAUUUAUAAUAAUAUAUACAUUCAUGUAACUUUGUGUUCACAUAUAUCAUAUGUAUAUAUGUAUAUGUGUGUUUUUGUAUACAAUUGUCUAUGAAAAAAUAUUUAUACAUACGAUUGUGUACAUAUACAGGAAUCUAAGUACACAUGCACACAUAUAUUUUCACAUACAAUACAUACAUACAUACAUUGUAAUUCUCCUUUUAUAAAUGGCAUAUUAAUGCUUUUAAGGGAGUAAGGUAAAUCAGAUUGGUUGUAUUAGAAAAGUAAAAAAUAAUUUGAAUGUAAUUAUUAAAAAGUGUUGCUAAAAGGCGUGCUCAAGUUUGCACUUUGGCUUUCUCUUCCUAACCCUAUUCUGUUGGAGCUGUUUGCACCACGUUAGAACAGCCCCCUUAAGCUUCAUGUGACAAAAUCUACUUAUCAUCUGGUUGGCACACUCAUGAGUUUUACAUUAGGGUUUGACUAAGGCAGAGAUCUGAGACUUGGGAAAAAAACACAACAAAUUCACCAAAAGUUUGGGAAGAGGUCUAAUAACUAAUAACUACGAAACAACUAAAAAUAAAAAGCAACGACUCGAUCUAGGCAUAAUGACAAAGAUGAGAAUACAGAAAGUAUGGUGAUGCAAGUUGCAGCUGUUCGGUCAUGGUUUUUUCAUUAUGUCAAUCACCAUCAGGUUUUACAAUGAUGCUGCCAAGCAAAUUUGUUGUAGGUGAUGAAGCAGCAGAAAAGUAAAUGAUGCCAGCUGAUUACACAAGAUGGACUAAAAUUCUAAAUAAAGAUUAAAUUAAGAAAAAUUUCAAUCAAAACAAC